rnacentral:rRNA from 1 species
UACGGGGGGAGCAAGCGUUGUCCGGAAUCAUUGGGCGUAAAGAGCGUGUAGGCGGCCCCUUAAGUCCUGCGUGAAAUCCUGCGGCUCAACCGCAGACGGUCGUGGGAAACUGGAGGGCUAGAGUGCGGGAGAGGAGAGUGGAAUUCCCGGUGUAGCGGUGGAAUGCGCAGAUAUCAGGAGGAACACCAAUGGCGAAGGCAGCUCUCUGGUACAUGAUUGACGCUGAGACGCGAAAGCGUGGGGAGCGAACAGG